AGUAAGGUCAGCUAAAAUUAAGCUCUUGGGCCCAUACCCCGAACAUGUUGGUUAAAUUCCUUCCUUUACUG
rnacentral:tRNA from 2 species